rnacentral:rRNA from 1 species
AGAGUUUGAUCCUGGCUCAGGACGAACGCUGGCGGCACGCUUAACACAUGCAAGUCGAACGAGAGAAGAGGAGCUUGCUUUUCUGAUCUAGUGGCGGACGGGUGAGUAACACGUGAGCAAUCUGCCUUUCAGAGGGGGAUACCGAUUGGAAACGAUCGUUAAUACCGCAUAACAUAAUUGAACCGCAUGAUUUGAUUAUCAAAGAUUUAUCGCUGAAAGAUGAGCUCGCGUCUGAUUAGCUAGUUGGUAAGGUAACGGCUUACCAAGGCGACGAUCAGUAGCCGGACUGAGAGGUUGAUCGGCCACAUUGGGACUGAGACACGGCCCAGACUCCUACGGGAGGCAGCAGUGGGGAAUAUUGCACAAUGGAGGAAACUCUGAUGCAGCGAUGCCGCGUGGGGGAAGAAGGUUUUAGGAUUGUAAACCUCUGUCCUCAGGGACGAAAAAAGACGGUACCUGAGGAGGAAGCUCCGGCUAACUACGUGCCAGCAGCCGCGGUAAUACGUAGGGAGCGAGCGUUGUCCGGAAUUACUGGGUGUAAAGGGAGCGUAGGCGGGAUCGCAAGUCAGACGUGAAAACUAUGGGCUUAACCCAUAAACUGCAUUUGAAACUGUGGUUCUUGAGUGAAGUAGAGGUAAGCGGAAUCCCUAGUGUAGCGGUGAAAUGCGUAGAUAUUAGGAGGAACAUCAGUGGCGAAGGCGGCUUACUGGGCUUUAACUGACGCUGAGGCUCGAAAGCGUGGGGAGCAAACAGGAUUAGAUACCCUGGUAGUCCACGCCGUAAACGAUGAUUACUAGGUGUGGGGGGACUGACCCCUUCCGUGCCGCAGCAAACGCAAUAAGUAAUCCACCUGGGGAGUACGACCGCAAGGUUGAAACUCAAAGGAAUUGACGGGGGCCCGCACAAGCAGUGGAGUAUGUGGAUUAAUUCGAAGCAACGCGAAGAACCUUACCAGGUCUUGACAUCGUAUGCAUAGCUCAGAGAUGAGUGAAAUCUCUUCGGAGACAUAUAGACAGGUGGUGCAUGGUUGUCGUCAGCUCGUGUCGUGAGAUGUUGGGUUAAGUCCCGCAACGAGCGCAACCCUUACUGUUAGUUGCUACGCAAGAGCACUCUAGCAGGACUGCCGUUGACAAAACGGAGGAAGGUGGGGAUGACGUCAAAUCAUCAUGCCCCUUAUGACCUGGGCCUCACACGUACUACAAUGGCUGUCAACAGAGGGAAGCAAAGCCGCGAGGUGGAGCGAACCCCUAAAAGCAGUCUUAGUUCGGAUUGAAGGCUGCAACCCGCCUACAUGAAGUCGGAAUUGCUAGUAAUCGCAGAUCAGCAUGCUGCGGUGAAUACGUUCCCGGGCCUUGUACACACCGCCCGUCACGCCAUGGGAGUCGGUAACACCCGAAGCCUGUAGUCUAACCGCAAGGAGGACGCAGUCGAAGGUGGGAUUGAUGACUGGGGUGAAGUCGUAACAAGGUA